GACGAACGCUGGCGGCGUGCUUAACACAUGCAAGUCGAACGGAAAGGCCCUGCUUUUGUGGGGUGCUCGAGUGGCGAACGGGUGAGUAACAAGUGAGUAACCUGCCCUUGACUUUGGGAUAACUUCAGGAAACUGGGGCUAAUACCGGAUCGGAGCUUCUGCUGCCUGGUGGGGGUUGGAAAGUUUCGGCGGUUGGGGAUGGACUCGCGGCUUAUCAGCUUGUUGGUGGGGUAGUGGCUUACCAAGGCUUUGACGGGUAGCCGGCCUGAGAGGGUGACCGGCCACAUUGGGACUGAGAUACGGCCCAGACUCCUACGGGAGGCAGCAGUGGGGAAUAUUGCACAAUGGGCGGAAGCCUGAUGCAGCAACGCCGCGUGCGGGAUGACGGCCUUCGGGUUGUAAACCGCUUUCGCCUGUGACGAAGCGUGAGUGACGGUAAUGGGUAAAGAAGCACCGGCUAACUACGUG
rnacentral:rRNA from 1 species